AUUGAACGCUGGCGGCAGGCCUAACACAUGCAAGUCGAGCGAGCGGCGGACGGGUGAGUAAUGUCUGGGAAACUGCCAGAUGGAGGGGGAUAACUACUGGAAACGGUAGCUAAUACAGCAUACCAUCAGAUGUGCGCAGAUGGGAUUAGCUAGUAGGGGGGGUAACGGCUCACCAAGGCGACGAACCCUAGCUGGUCUGAGAGGAUGACCAGCCCCACUGGAACGGAGACACGGUCCAGACUCCUACGGAGGGCAGCAGUGGGGAAUAUUGCACAAUGGGCGCAAGCCUGAUGCAGCCAUGCCGCGUGUGUGAAGAAGGCCUUCGGGUUGUAAAGCCCUUUCAGCGGGGAGGCGUUACCCGCAGAAGAAGCACCGGCUAACUCCGUGCCAGCAGCCGCGGUAAUUC
rnacentral:rRNA from 1 species